CCGGAGUAAAACUGCAAAACGGCCGCUAGAAAGACGACGGCGGCUCUUGACGGAAGAUACUGGGCCAUUUAUUUGAGGAAUAACCAGCAAGAAUUUGAAACAAUUUAGUUCAAUCGGCCGAUGAUGAACAAUCUCUGGCGCUAUACUGCUAUACUUCAGCUAUGACUGCCACCUCUUUUCAAUAAUGCAUGCGCCAUUUCACGGAUAAGCCAAUCCCACUGUAACUCAAAAGGAUAUGAUUGCGGGUGACAGUGGCGGUCCGCUCGUCGUCA